AACCCAUGGUGAGGGCAUCUUCUCAGUAAUUCAUUGUAUCUCUCUCAUGCAUCGUAAAGUAUUUUUAAAUCCAUCUACACAAAAGAAGAGAUAUCAUUACGUAAUUU
rnacentral:snoRNA from 1 species